UGCAAGUCGAACGAUGAAGCCCUUCGGGGUGGAUUAGUGGCGAACGGGUGAGUAACACGUGGGCAAUCUGCCCUUCACUCUGGGACAAGCCCUGGAAACGGGGUCUAAUACCGGAUAACACUUCCGUCCUCCUGGACGGUGGUUAAAAGCUCCGGCGGUGAAGGAUGAGCCCGCGGCCUAUCAGCUUGUUGGUGAGGUAAUGGCUCACCAAGGCGACGACGGGUAGCCGGCCUGAGAGGGCGACCGGCCACACUGGGACUGAGACACGGCCCAGACUCCUACGGGAGGCAGCAGUGGGGAAUAUUGCACAAUGGGCGAAAGCCUGAUGCAGCGACGCCGCGUGAGGGAUGACGGCCUUCGGGUUGUAAACCUCUUUCAGCAGGGAAGAAGCGAAAGUGACGGUACCUGCAGAAGAAGCGCCGGCUAACUACGUGCCAGCAGCCGCGGUAAUACGUAGGGCGCAAGCGUUGUCCGGAAUUAUUGGGCGUAAAGAGCUCGUAGGCGGCUUGUCACGUCGGUUGUGAAAGCCCGGGGCUUAACCCCGGGUCUGCAGUCGAUACGGGCAGGCUAGAGUGUGGUAGGGGAGAUCGGAAUUCCUGGUGUAGCGGUGAAAUGCGCAGAUAUCAGGAGGAACACCGGUGGCGAAGGCGGAUCUCUGGGCCAUUACUGACGCUGAGGA
rnacentral:rRNA from 1 species